AGCCGCUUCCCUUCAAGUGUCGAACAUCCACAACUUUGUUGUGAUGUCAGGUGUGGUAAGGGUCGGACCGAGACGCUUGUAAAUGGUAUCAAGGUAAGGUGGGUAGCUGGUUGCUGCAAGCCGAGUCUCGGACCGGCCCGUAACAGCGGCAGCCGUCAGGAUGCGUCGGGGGCAGUAUCCGGCCAGGAUACAUCAAAGCCGCUGUUGAUUACAACCGGCAUGACUUGGGAGGGCGAGUCAAGCCAACAAGAGCGGACAAGGCCGGAACUUUCCCAACGGUACCUAACUCUUCUCUCUUCUUUGCCCUAGGAGAGGGGAAGCGAGGCGGGCGAUACCGAGGCUGACUGUCAAGUCCUGUUCCAGAAGGUACCGGCAGAAGGAAUCGGAGGGCCUGGGACAGCAGGGGCCUCGUAAUGAUUAAAGUGACCGAAAGAACUAAGGGCUGAGGCUUGAUACUCGUAUUCAUGGUUAAGAGGUCAUCAUUUGUGCGCGAUCUACUAGAUGGCAGAUUUCAAAACAAUUUAUUCUUGAGAGGAGGCACCACAGUUAAAGACAGUGUUUUGAAGAAUUAUGAACUUCCUGCUCACAAACUACAUACUUCUCCAGUUAGUCUGACAGGCUAUCAAUGAGAAGGCGGCAUUACAGGACACCACUGAAAACUAUACCACUAAAAACUGAUUAUUGCUGCAGUCAGCAGAAACAGCAACUAUCUGCUACAGACCAAGAGAUUGAGCACUGGGUUAAGACAUGGUUGCAGCUUGCCACAGACAGAGAUGGAGGUCGUUGGGCAAAAGAGAAGAUUUAAAGGCAUAGCUCACCCAAAAAUGGAAACUCAUUCACUUACCAUCAAGAUGUUUCAAACUCUAUCAAAUGUAUUUGUUCAGUUACUGACUGUUAUAAAUUAAACAGGUUUGGAACA